UACGGAGGAUGCAAGCGUUAUCCGGAAUUAUUGGGCGUAAAGCGUCCGCAGGUGGCUGUUCAAGUCUGCUGUCAAAGCGCAGAGCUUAACUCUGUACAGGCGGUGGAAACUGAAGAGCUAGAGUAUGGUAGGGGUGGAGGGAAUUCCCGGUGUAGCGGUGAAAUGCGUAGAUAUCGGGAAGAACACCAGUGGCGAAAGCGCUCUGCUGGGCCAUAACUGACGCUGAGGGACGAAAGCUAGGGGAGCGAAAGGG
rnacentral:rRNA from 1 species